UGUUCUUUGAUAGAUUAACUUUGACAAUUACCAGGGAAUUGUUUCUUUUGUGAACACUGACAAUGUCCAUUGGAAGUUUCUGUGCAUAAAUGCGGUCAACCACACUGUGUACCUGGUAGAUCCUUCAAAAAGUUCUACAGAGGAAGAUGACUCAAUUCAUGCUGCCAAAAAAUUCAGUGAGUACCUGCAAAUGAGGAGUACGUACCAUGGAAAAACGGAGUGGGUGGAUAUACAGUGGAAAGGAGGAGUUAUGACACAUCCAGUCCAACAGGAUGGCAGUAGCUGUGGGGUCAUUGUCGUCUUGAUGGCAAGGGGAAUAAUGAAGGCAUUUCCAGCUGUUCCCAUUUUACAUUUAGGAACUUCCAGAAAGGAAAUGGCCAAUGAACGGAAAAUGAUGGCUCUGCAGAUACUCAAAG